GUAAAAAUUACUUUCCUCCCCAACCACCCAGAGGAAACCUCCAUUUGCUUUUGGUGAUAAUUUUUGCAGCUGUCUCUCUCCAUGCCUGUAACUAUAAUAUUCAUGUUAUUUUUAAUCUUGUUUUUCCCCUCAGCAGUAUAUUAUGGAGCUCAUUCUAUGUCAAUGAAAACUUACAUAUAUGUAAUAUUCGAUUAUUUGUGUAAAAUAUUGUACCAGUUUUUCAUUAAAGAACAAUUUAGGUCAUUUCCUAUUUUACUAUUAUUAAUAUUUUAUUAUCAAAUAUGGUCAUUAUCAUACUUAUACAUCUUUGCAUAUUUGUCCAAUUUUCUCUGUAGGGUAAAGUCCUACCUAAUGAAUUGAUGAAUUAAAUCUUAAAAUUAGUGGAAGGUUAAGAAAUAUUGUUGGUUAUUCUGAGCACAGGAAAUUGACCAUGAGGUUUUUAAACUCACAUGUUUUAUUCAUGGGUAGGCAGGUAACAUGAUGAUUAGGAGUUCUGGCAUCAGAUUACUGGGUUGAAAUCCUGGCUUUGUCACUUGCUAGUGAGGAUGAAAUAAUAAAAUCCCUCUAAAAUACCUAGCUCAGCACUUGACACAUGGUUAU
rnacentral:lncRNA from 1 species